CUAUACAUGACUCUGCGCAUAUCAAUAAGCGGAGGAAAAGAAACUAACAAGGAUUCCCCUAGUAACGGCGAGUGAAGCGGGAAGAGCUCAAAUUUGAAAUCUUAAAGGGUUUCCCUUUACGAAUUGUAGUUUAAAGAAGUGUUUUCUGUUGAGGUUUUGGUAAAAGUUCUUUGGAAUAGGACAUCAUAGAGGGUGAGAAUCCCGUAUUUGACCUUUACUUUCAACUUUGUGAUACACUUUCAAAGAGUCGGAUUGUUUGGGAAUGCAGUCCAAAAUGGGUGGUAAAUUUCAUCUAAAGCUAAAUAUUGGCGAGAGACCGAUAGCGAACAAGUACCGUGAGGGAAAGAUGAAAAGAACUUUGAAAAGAGAGUUAAACAGUACGUGAAAUUGUCAAAAGGGAAGCGUUUGACACCAGUGUUGUUUUUCUGAAAAUCAAUUAAAGAACUGUUUAUGCUAAGCUGUUUAGACUUUAUCAGCUAUCUGCUUAGUUUUAGGCUUUUCUUUAAUGCACUUUUCAGUUAACAAGUCAACAUCAAUUUCUUUUGCUGUAAAAAAGCUUGAGGAAGGUGGCUUGAGAUUCGUCUUAAGUGUUUAUAGCCUCUUGCCUAUGCAGUCGGAGAGAUUGAGGUCUGCAGCGUAGAUCCUUCGGGGCUAAAUGCAUUUGUGCUAAGUUAUAGCAUUUUAUAGACAACUUGUUGACUAUGAUUUGUCUUGUAGCUUACUCGCUCAUGUUAUUUUACCUACGCUUAGGAUGUUGAUCUACAGAGCGAGAGU
rnacentral:rRNA from 1 species